GAAAGCUAGUUUUUCGCCCAAGUUAAAAGUUGGAGCCAAGAUUCACAUCUGGGAAUCGCUAAGGGCAAAAGAAUCAAGGAAUCCCUCCCACGUCUGGACCUGAAGAUGAAGGACUGUGAUCCCAGCUUCUCAGGAGGACAAGGAGGGAGGAGUCCCAGGCCACUCUGGGCAACCUAGAGACUCUCAAAAACCAAAACAAAUCAAAAGGAAUGGAAGCUUCAAGGAGUCACAGAGCAGUGGAUGACCUACUCAGCACAGGCUGUCUCAUACCCUAGCACCCAGUAGGUAGAUUUCCUGCUUGUCCUGUUCCCUGGCAUCCAAUAUUGGCAAAAGAAACAAAGCCCCCAACCUCCUCUGCCUCUCUCCUCACUCCCACCUCUACUCAGAGUCUAUGUUAUGGUUAAGAUGCCCCUAACCCCACAGACAGCUGUCCUUUGCACUCGGCCGGGGUGGGGUGGGCAUGAUCCCCAUUCUGACCUGUACUUCCUCUCUCUGUUGUCGGGCUUCUCUGUGUCUUUGAAGCCAGUAACAGUCUAGUUGGAAUUGCUCACCGGCUCUCUCCACUCUCACCAUCUUCACUCUGAAACCCAAAGCCUGCUCAAGACCCAGUCAGUUCAGAGCUCAGGUUCAUGUGGCUUUGGAGGGGGUUCUAUCGGUCUAGAAAAUGUGUGUAGCUGGCAGACAAGAAACUGGCCCGGGGAAAGACGACCAACGAGCCCCCCUCGACCUUCCCCAUCCCGUGAUUUCCUUUGUCUCCUAUCCCAAUCCCAACCCACUUCCCUACCCCCAGCCUAUGAGCCUGGAGGCUUCCCAAUAAAACGGUAUUGUAACUUUAUCUAAGA